ensembl:snoRNA SNORD10 small nucleolar RNA, C/D box 10
GUAUAAUGAUGAAAACCCAUGCGUGUCAUCUGACUCUGUAAACCCCCGCUGUACUGUCGUCCUGGUUGGCGUUCUGUUGGCUGGAGUCCUCAGGACAGCAGGGAUCCAGAGAUAUGAUCAUACAUCACUACUUCUGAAUAC